CCUGUUCUAACAUUUUUUUAAUUACAAACAAAAUACAGUGUUAAUUCUGAAAAAAAUAAACACUGGAGUAUUAAGCCAAAAGUGUAAAUGCUUUGAAUCACUACUUCUAAAUUACCUAACAAUGUUUCAGCAUCUCUACUUCCCAUUAAAAAAAAUAAAAUAAAUUAAAAAUCACGACAAACACAGAGGAAUCGGUAGGCAAAUUGAAAUGUGGAAUAAUGCUUACGUGUAGAAGGGAACUGUGACUCUCAUGAAGAAUCUUAUGGAUGUCUGAAGGCAACGUCCAGGGACUCACCACAGUCUCCUCUCUCUCAUAUUCUACAGACAUCUGCUUGGUGUGAGGUACAAGUCCAGUCCCUCCAUGAUUUUCUCUAUGCUGAUGUCUACCACAUGGAGCAAUAGACCCUUCAAGGGCAAAGAACAGAAGUGGACACUGGAAAUAAUUCAUUUUAAUGGGAACCUCCACGUCCAGAGAGUCCAGGGAGGAGAGGCCACAGAUAUAAUGGAAUUACAACAUCAUGAGGUGACAUCACCAAGACAGUGACUGAAGAUGUUAUUUGCUUCAAUCAAUAGAGGAACAACUAUCAGGAACAGGACAACACUGAGAGAACCCCACAGCAGAGUGGCAAAGGCUGAAGCACCCCGACACCUCAGAGACCAACACAGACUGCCUCAGAACUGAUGCCAAGGAGAGCCACGCGAUGGUGUGACAGAA